ACAUAAACUCAUGUUUAUAAUGUUUACUGAGGGAAUAAAUCAGUCAUUUUCUCAUAGACGUCUAUGGGAGCAGAGUCACGCUCUGGAGGUCAACACAGAGACUCAGAAUCUUCAGCCGGAGGAAACAGAAGCUUUUUGAUAUUCUCAUCUGUGGUGAUGUCAGAGUGAAGUGGGCUCCCUUUUGUAAAGAUAAAAACGUACAUUGUGUUGCACUGACUCUCAAAGACUCUCUGGUGUGUUUCUGACAGUUCAGAACCUGCAGAGAUGAUGGUUGUAAUUUCUCAGUUUAAUGAGUCCUGAUUGCUGGAAAACGUCUGGAGCCUUCAGUCUGACAAGGUUUUUCCUCAGUAAAUCAACCAGAAUGCCAUAAAGGACCAAAAGUAUCAGUGUUUUUCUCCUUGUGUUGUUCUGUGUUGGGAAAUUGUUUUCAACCCAGUUUAAAGUGAUUCAUGUUCAAACACGGAAAUGUCAAAGGGAGAAAACUCUAAAAGUACACCGACGCAGCAGAGACACAGUGCCAUUAGAGGUCAUAUGAAGAUCUCUAGAGGUCAUCGACACACUAAAUCAUGAUAUUAAAAAUGUUGGUGACAUUACAAAUCACACAGUGGGUGAGAUUUGUGAUGAUUACUGUGACGUGUUUGGGAUCCAACAGAAUCAAUAAAUGAUAUCAACACUAUAGUGUAGCAUGUUUUUAUAGUUCACCUGGUCUGAUGUAGUGUGAUUGGGUAUGACGUGGUCAGGUCUCUUAAGUUUCGGUACGACUUGGUCUGGUAUGGCCAGGUCUCCUCUGGUCUGUUUUGGUUUGGUUUAGUAGGACCUGGUCUGGUCUGGUUCAGGACUCCAGCCCCUUAGAGGUCUGUUUAACCACAAACGCUGUAUCUCACUUCCUUCAACCGCCCACCUGACUCCCGCUGCAGGACACAAUGGAUUUACCAACCAUGAAGCUAUCAAGAUCUUUUGUUUUCAAAAUAUUUCUGUGGGCCCUUUUUUCCCUAAUUGCCUGUCAAAAUCGACUUGGCUGCCGUCGGUAUGUAGAAAGGAGAGCCGCGCACGCCGUUCAUUAAUUCAUACCGCCUCUAUUCAGACUGGAUUUGGAUUUCACAACCCUGCAGAUAAAACACGCCAACAUGUUCACAUGAGCGCCGAAUGAUUUAAAUGAAAAAAAGGAAGAAAUCACACUCGACUCGACGGUUGAUCUUAUGGUUCCACUCCGAAGCAGCUCCCUGUUCAUCCUGCAGCCGGUUUCUGGGUCAUUCCUUUCGCCUCCCACAGGUGACUCACGACAUCCAGUGUCACAAUAAUUGCGACAACGAUGUCAACCCGCUUAUUUAUGAAAAUAGCAGGGAGGUUUGUGGUCACCUCUCCUCCUCAAGACAAACCUCUCUGGACCUGCACUUAACACAGAAGACGGCACCAUUUGGAUCUUUCUUUGUCCAUUGAAUAAAACCGUGAGAUGCCAGAGAUCUGAUCUGAAACAAAGCAAUACUGAAGGAUGGAUUCAUCGUCAGUAAUAUAUGUAAAUAACGAGCUGAAGUCCUUAAAAUGUCCCAAAAUGUUGCCCUAAAUAUGUGUAUUAAAGAAGCAGUCAGUCACGGGUACGUUUCUGUAUUAAAUGUCUUAUCUUGCUUGAUGAUACGUGUGCGUUUAUUGUCCCGUAUUUUCUGAGUUGUCUUCAAUGCAGCAUCCCAUGCAAAUGAUCCUCCCCGAAUUCUGUGAAGACUCGUCCUGUAGAUGCGAAGGUACCGAUGAGACUGGGAGGCAUCCAUCUAGAUACUUUACGCCACCUCGCCUCCCGUAUCGACCCCCCCAGCAGCACACUGCUCCUGCUGUGUGGGCUCAGGGUUAAGUUGUCUCAGGACCUGUACCUGUGCAAUGGCCAAACGCUGAAUCAUCUUCUUCUAAAGGAUGUUAGGUAGCAAAAGCUACCAGGUAGCUAAGCAGUUAAAGCUAUAACUAAAGUAGCUAAAAGGUACCAAACGCAUCGGCCAGCUAAAGACUUGAAGCUAAAUUAUAUUAGAUUGCCAAUCUUCAAAUAGGGCUUCAAGAAGCUAAAGCUCCGGUACAGACCACGCUAAAUGAGCUAAUAGACAUGAUAGUAGCUGAAGACAUCAGGGAGAUUUAGCUAAGGUAGGUUGUCAUGUAGCUCAAGAGGCAAAAAGACACAAGAGCUAAAAAGCUAAAUUAAUAUAAGGAAGAUAAAGCUAUGGUGGCUAAAUUAUUGAUGCUAGUUUGGCUAUAGUCCAAAAGAUUACAAGGUUAUUUAUUGUCAUUACUUUGCAACAAACGCAGUUUAGUAAGAUACGCAAAAGGCUAAAGGACAUUGAGCAUCUAGCUUCAGAAAGCUACAUUUCGUAUGGUAGCCAAAGCUAAAGAGGCAAAUGUCAAGCUAAACCACGUUUAAGAAAAUUAAUGCAAUUUUCCAGCUUUCUGCUCCAGCUCACUGGAGCAGAUCAGUGUCUCUCUGCCCGGAGAGGCUCUCUUCAUCCUGCCCACUGGGACCAGUGCCAGCGCUGGAGGACAUGCUGGUUUCAGCAGCUGGAAGAAGUCCCGUCAUGUAUGUCAACCAGCGGAAAAACAGGGCGACUGGAUGACGGGGUGACUGACUGACUGGAUGACGGGGUGACUGACUGGAUGAAGGGGUCACUGACUGGAUGAAGGGGUGACUGACUGGAUGACAGGGUGACUGACUGGAUGACGGGGUGACUGACUGGAUGACGGGGUGAAUAUGGCCUCUCCUUUGUUUGUUGAGAAGCAGCAUGGACUAAAUAACUGACGGAGCAGCGUUGAACCAGCAACCACAGUGUUUUGUUUUUGUAAAUGGAGUCUGGUGUGUUAGAAGAUAACUCGGACAUCAGCAGGAAGAUCUCUGCCUGACAGGAACGUAGAUAGAACCCUGAGACCACUGCAGUAAUCAGACAGACCUCAGGCCGUACCAGAGAGCAGUCACACUACCUGAAGGAUUCUCAGGUUACCAGCAGGGAGGAGGCAGCGACGUGCCUCAACAGAGAUAUCAAUUGUUCAGCACUUCGGCAAACGUGUCAUGUUGAGUACACACACACACACACGCACACACACACACACACACACACACACACACACACACACACACACACACACACACACACACACCUGCAGCCCGGGUUUCAGAGCCGUGCAGAUCUGUGAUUGGAAAUGAGGUGGCUAAUUAGCCAAACCUGCUCUACCGCUCCCUCGCUGCUCAGAUCUACUCCCCCCCUCUGUGCGGUGGACUGGAUUACUUUGAGUGUCGGAGGAGAAACCAGGCGUCACGUCGGGGAUUCAUUCCAGAACAAACGCCCACCUCUAAGCCGCCGAGGGAGGAAAAGAAGACGAAGAAAAGGUGUGGCCUUUAUUAUUUGUGUUACCUAAACACACAGGCAGGUUUUGCUCCUUUGGCAUCCAUAGUUUAGUGUUGUUAUGUAAUGAUAGACAGUGUGGUUCUUCAGUAAACAUCUCGCCUAUCUUUUAUUUUUUAAUAUCACUGGGAACUUUAUGGUCUUAUAGACAAGUUUAAUUCCUCAUUUCUAUGUAUUUAUACAUUGAAAUCUCUCUGUAACUUUGAGUCUAACAGGAACAAACAGUAUAUGCAGAAAGUGUAUUUUGUAUUGAUGUAUAAUUACUCUCAGUGGGUCACACGGAUCGUACUUCCUGUCCUUUGAGCUCACAGUGUGACCUCUGGGCAAUGAACAGAGGUCACAUCCAUCCGCUUCAGAUAAUAACAGCUAAGUUGAAGACUUAUUUAAUUUAUUUCAGGUUGGAUGAGGUUCUGCAGUCUCUUGUCUUAGAGACGCUCUCUGGGUCCAUCACAGGCUCCUGAUGAUCCUGAUUUCCACUGAAGAUGUCUGGAGGACAUUUGGGGGAUUUCCAGUACAACUCAGGAUGAGCCGUGGGAUUUCAUUUGACCUUCUGAUAAUGAUUAGAACACGUUAAGAUGAAGUGGAUCGUGACCUCCUGGCACAUGAGGAGCUCAUCUUUAAUCUCAGCCGAUGGAGAGGCGACAGCAAGUCUCCACGCCGUAAACCGAUCCGCAUCGCAGGGAGAGGGAGAGGAUUCCUGAUAUGGAUCUACCUCAGAAACCAGCCAAACAAAGCCUCACCUGUUUGCAGCGCCCUGCCUUGUUCCUCCUCCACCACCUCCUCCACCUGCUCCUCCACCUCCUCCUCCACUAGACUUCUAAAUCCACUUUGUCAGUUGGGUGCCUUCUCUCUUCUGGUUGUUUUGAUACACAGAAAUACUGGUUAGGUAGCUGUCGCUCCUUCCCUUCCAAAUACCUCCACCCUCCCUCCUCCUCCUCCUCCGGAACUGAAAUCUCCCCUCUUACCCUCCCCCCUUUCUCCAUUUUGGGUGUCCCAAAUCAGGCCCCCCGGGGCAGAUCCCAGACAUAAAGUUAGCA